rnacentral:rRNA from 1 species
GACGAAGGGGGCUAGCGUUGUUCGGAAUUACUGGGCGUAAAGAGCGCGUAGGCGGUUUGAUAAGUUGGGAGUGAAAGCCCGGGGCUUAACCUCGGAAUUGCUUUCAAAACUGUCAAGCUAGAGUGUAGUAGGGGAUGAUGGAAUUCCUAGUGUAGAGGUGAAAUUCGUAGAUAUCGGGAGGAACACCAGUGGCGAAGGCGGCGACCUGGGCCAAUACUGACGCUGAGGUGCGAAAGCGUGGGGAGCAAACAGG